rnacentral:rRNA from 1 species
UACGUAGGGUGCGAGCGUUAAUCGGAAUUACUGGGCGUAAAGCGUGCGUAGGCGGUUCGUUAAGUUCGUUGUGAAAGCCCCGGGCUCAACCUGGGAAUGGCAAUGGAAACUGGCGGGCUGGAGUAUGGCAGAGGGGGGGUGGAAUUCCCGGUGUAGCAGUGAAAUGCGUAGAGAUCGGGAGGAACAUCUGUGGCGAAGGCGACUGCCUGGACCAGCACUGACACUGAGGCACGAAAGCGUGGGGAGCAAACAGG